GGCCGCGUGGCCCAAUGGAUAAGGCACCUGGUUUCUACCUAGGCGAUUGUGGGUUCGAGUCCCAUCGCGGCCU